CCUACGGGUGGCAGCAGUGGGGGAUAUUGGACAAUGGGGGAAACCCUGAUCCAGCGACGCCGCGUGAGUGAAGAAGUAUUUCGGUAUGUAAAGCUCUAUCAGCAGGGAAGAAAGAGAUGACAGUACCUGAGUAAGCAGCCCCGGCUAACUGCGUGCCAGCAGCCGCGGUAAUACGUAGGGGGCAAGCGUUAGCCGUAAUUACUGGGGGUAAAGGGAGCGUAGACGGUGAUGCACGUCUGUAGUGAAAGGCGGGGGCCCACCCCCCGGACUGCUCUGGAAACUGUGUAACUGGAGUGUAGGAGAGGCAGGCGGAAUUCCUAGUGUAGCGGUGAAAUGCGUAGAUAUUAGGAGGAACACCAGUGGCGAAGGCGGCCUGCUGGACGGUAACUGACGUUGAGGCUCGAAAGCGUGGGGAGCAAACAGGAUUAGAUACCCGGGUAGUC
rnacentral:rRNA from 1 species